rnacentral:rRNA from 1 species
AGAGAUGUGUGAUGACGCAUAUCAAUAAGCGGAGGAAAAGAAACUAACAAGGAUUCCCUUAGUAACGGCGAGUGAAGCGGGAAGAGCUCAAAUUUGAAAUCUUCAAGGUUCUACCUUGACGAAUUGUAGUUUAUAGAAGUGUUUUCUGUUAGUAGAGUGGCAAAAGUUCUUUGGAAUAGGACAUCAUAGAGGGUGAGAAUCCCGUAUUUGGUCAUUCCUUCUAGCGUUGUGAUACACUUUCAACGAGUCGGAUUGUUUGGGAAUGCAGUCCAAAAUGGGUGGUAAAUUUCAUCUAAAGCUAAAUAUUGGCGAGAGACCGAUAGCGAACAAGUACCGUGAGGGAAAGAUGAAAAGAACUUUGAAAAGAGAGUUAAACAGUACGUGAAAUUGUCAAAAGGGAAGCGUUUGACACCAGUGUUGUUUUUCCGAAAAUCAAUUACGAAUGUUUUAUUUUUGAGGAGUUAUGACUUCAUCGGCUUGCUCCUUUCUUUACGAAACUUUCUUAAUGCACUUUUCGGUUAACAAGUCAACAUCAAUUUCUUUUGUUGUAAAAGGGUAUGAGGAAGGUGGCUUUCUUUUCGGAGAAAGUGUUUAUAGCCUUGUAGCCUCUGCAAUCGGAGAGAUUGAGGUCUGCAGCGUAGAUCCUUCGGGGUUAGAUACAGUUUGUGCUAAGUUAUAGCUUUUCAUAGACAACUUGUUGACUAUGUUUAGUCUUGUAGCUUACUCGCUUAUGCUAUUUUACCUACGCUUAGGAUGUUGACGAUCAGCUGAGCGCG